CUAAGAAUAUUCCGCAAUGGACGAAAGUCUGACGGAGCGACGCCGCGUGAACGAAGAAGGUGGAAACGUUGUAAAGUUCUUUUAAUUGAGAGGAAUAAGCAUAGUAGGGAAUGACUGUGUGGUGACUGUAUCAAUUGAAUAAGCAACGGCUAAUUACGUGCUAGCAGCCGCGGUAACACGUAAGUUGCGAGCGUUGUUCGGAAUUAUUGGGCGUAAAGGGCAUGUAGGCGGUUAAGCAAGCUUGGUGUGAAAUUCCGAGGCUCAACUUCGGAACUGCAUUGAGAACUGCAUAACUAGGAUUACUGAAGGGUAGCUAGAAUUCCAAGUGUAGGGGUGAAAUCUGUAGAUAUUUGGAAGAAUACCAAUGGCGCAGGCAAGCUACUGGCAGAUAAUUGACGCUGAGGUGCGAAGGUGCGGGGAGCAAACAGG
rnacentral:rRNA from 2 species